UACGUAGGGACCAAGCGUUGUCCGGAAUCAUUGGGCGUAAAGAGCGUGUAGGCGGCUUGUUAAGUCUUGCGUGAAAUCUCGGGGCUCAACCCCGAGCGGUCGUGAGAAACUGGCAGGCUAGAGUGCGGGAGAGGAGAGUGGAAUUCCUGGUGUAGCGGUGAAAUGCGCAGAUAUCUGGAGGAACACCGGUGGCGAAGGCGGCAUCCUGGACCAAUACUGACGCUGAGGAGCGAAAGCCAGGGGAGCAAACGGG
rnacentral:rRNA from 1 species